AUUGAACGCUGACGGAAUGCUUUACACAUGCAAGUCGAACGGCAGCACGGGUGCUUGCACCUGGUGGCGAGUGGCGAACGGGUGAGUAAUACAUCGGAACGUACCCAGUCGUGGGGGAUAACGUAGCGAAAGUUACGCUAAUACCGCAUACGUCCUGAGGGAGAAAGCGGGGGACCGUAAGGCCUCGCGCGAUUGGAGCGGCCGAUGUCUGAUUAGCUAGUUGGUGAGGUAAAGGCUCACCAAGGCGACGAUCAGUAGCUGGUCUGAGAGGAUGAUCAGCCACACUGGAACUGAGACACGGUCCAGACUCCUACGGGAGGCAGCAGUGGGGAAUUUUGGACAAUGGGCGAAAGCCUGAUCCAGCCAUUCCGCGUGAGUGAAGAAGGCCUUCGGGUUGUAAAGCUCUUUCGGCAGGAACGAAACGCUCUAGAUUAAUACUCUGGGGUAAUGACGGUACCUGAAGAAGAAGCACCGGCUAACUACGUGCCAGCAGCCGCGGUAA
rnacentral:rRNA from 1 species